CACCUCUAGCAUAACAAGUAUUAGAGGCAUUGCCUGCCCAGUGACUGUAGUUAAACGGCCGCGGUAUCCUGACCGUGCAAAGGUAGCAUAAUCACUUGUUCCUUAAUUAGGGACUUGCAUGAACGGCUAAACGAGGGUCCAACUGUCUCUUAUUUUUGAUCAGUGAAAUUGACCUUCCAGUGAAGAGGCUGGAAUCCUAAAAUAAGACGAGAAGACCCUAUGGAGCUUAAAUUAAUAACUUAUAUGAAUAUCUUCCAUAAACCUAAUGGAAUAAAAACAGAAAUAAUAAGCUUAAAAUUUUGGUUGGGGUGACCUCGGAGAACAGAAAAUCCUCCGAACGAUUAUAACAUAGACCAACAAGUCAAAGUAAACCAAUUUUCCAAUUGACCCAAAAAUUUGAUCAACGGACCAAGUUACCCUAGGGAUAACAGCGCAAUCCUAUUUAAGAGUCCAUAUCGACAAUAGGGUUUACGACCUCGAUGUUGGAUCAGGACAUCCCAAUGGUGCAGAAGCUAUUAAUGGUUCGUUUGUUCAA
rnacentral:rRNA from 1 species